rnacentral:lncRNA from 1 species
CCUAAAUAUGACCCAGACCAAUCUCUUUCUUCUUCAUAAUGUGAGGUAGUGAUAGGAAUUAUUGAAUUACACAAGAAGCUCUGGCUGAGACAAGACAUCAAAGGCACAUAUAUUGGUUAAGAUCAGUAAGAUUGUCUGAAACCAUGUGUCAGAGAAAAUUCUCUUGGGAUAAGAAAAUGAAGAUUUGAAAUUACUUCCAAGAAUGAAGAGCAUCUGGAAGUCGAGGCAGGACUGGGACCAUCCCCAGAGGAGUGUGGAGCCUGGGAAACCAACCCUGCCACCAGCCUUUUCUCUCUCUUCUUUCCCUUUCCACCCAUUUUUAUUCGGGUAAAAACUGGUUCAAAAGAAAAAAGAGACUGUCUUAGAGGCCUUUUUUUUUUUUUGUAUGUAGCCAGAGGGAUGUGGAAGUGCCUGUGUGUGCUAGGAUUGCAUGUCUGUAAGUUCCUUUGCUGUCUAAGACCAUCUGUCUUCUCUUUGACCCCCUGUUUUCCCCACUCCAGCUCUGCACCUUACCCCAUGGUUGAUCCAACCCCAAGGUUCACCUCUUCUGGGGCAGCAGCUCUUUUUUCUUACGUUACUGGUUACUUCACCAGGAAGGGGUGAAGGGGAAAGUUAAAUGAGGUUUCUAGUCUAGAUGAUCCAGUUAUCACAUUGUGAGUAUGUGAUUGAGUAGGAUUAUUAGAGUAUAAAAUCAAAGUAAAUUCCAAGCCAGUUUUCUAAUAGGUUUUGACAUAGGAAUGGCUCUUUCAAGAACUUUGGCAAUUCUAUAGCAAUGUGAUGAGUACAAUCUGGCCCACUGUCCCUUAACCUGGCUGGUUCCAGCUGCCCCUCAGGGCAGUCAUCAGGGAUGACUUUUUCUCUCUUUGCCCUCUGAUUUGUGUUCCUUCUGGUUGUGUUUCCUCCAUUUAUUAGGGGAUCAGUGAUUAGCACCGCAAAAUUAUUUAUCCCUGCAACAUCAAUUGACUUUUAUAAAGAGUAUUUACUUCAAAGAGAUAGUAAGAACAAAUGUGUAAGCUUUCCCCCCAAUACUUCCAAUGCUUAUUCUCGCCUAUACCACCUCAGUGUUUGGGGGAGUAGGCUCAAAAUUUUGCUCAGUUCCUACAUAGUAUAGGCCCCACCAAAUUCAAGUUCACUGCAGGUUAAGUUCUUCCAACAGGCUGAGACCCUAAAGGUUACUCGCAAAGGUCACUCCUUGCUCCUCAGGGCACUGCUACUAUGCUGGCUAUAAAACACAGGUUGGAUUCUGAUGCUUAGAUUGCUAUGGCUCUCUCUUCUGACCAAAAAUUGCAAUGAAUGAAAACACCAAGGACCG